rnacentral:rRNA from 1 species
UACGGAGGGUGCAAGCGUUAUCCGGAUUUACUGGGUUUAAAGGGUGCGUAGGCGGGUUAGUAAGUCAGUGGUGAAAGCCUACAGCUCAACUGUAGAAUUGCCAUUGAUACUGCUGACCUUGAGUAUAGUUGAGGUGGGCGGAAUACAGCAUGUAGCGGUGAAAUGCAUAGAUAUGCUGUAGAACACCAAUUGCGAAGGCAGCUCGCUAAACUAUUACUGACGCUGAGGCACGAAAGCGUGGGUAGCGAACAGG